rnacentral:lncRNA from 1 species
UGAUAUUAACAAGACAGAGUUACACGUGCUGAAGGAAACAAUGGAUAUAUAACCAGAAUUUUCAAAAAGAAUUCAUGGGUAAAAUACAAGUGACAUUCAAUCUUAAGAUGCUAAAUUGUGAUCUCUUCUGACAAAAGCUCGACGAAUGGGACCACAGAUCGGAGAAGAUGAGCCGACGCCUAGGGCAUUCGAAUUUUCUCCGCUAUCAGCAAGUAGUGGUAUAGAUACGGCGUUCAAAGACAGGUCAGUCAAGACGAACAGUUGACGGAUGUUUCAUUUCUUCAUCAAAUUCCAGUCAGUACGUCAAGGCCACAGUGUGUUUUCGGCGUAUCUAUAAGGUCAUUCUUAGUAACAUCAGACAGUUGAGCGCCCUCUGGUAGUCGGCGCAUUUCCAGCUUUGAGCGCCCUCUAGUAGUCGGCGCAUUUCCGGGAAGCUGGUGAUACAGCGCCAUUUGGAAAAAAUGGGACAGAUGUCACUGUCUAACCCCGAGGAAAUCGACUGCAAGCUCAACUAUUUAGCAAAGUAUACAAAUAUAACAUGGAUUUUUAAGAUCUGCAUGUUCCUUGUUGAUGAAAUUUCAUGUAACAUGGUGUUGCCUUCCAGCCGCAUUGAAAUUAUAAAUAUGAGAUUAGUGUUUUGUAUUUUCACAUCCUAAAUGAAAUUCAGCAGCG